UUGUUACAGGCCUCUAUCGGUUGGAGUGAAUUAAAAAUCGAAUUUGGCGACGCGAGGUGAUACUUCAAUGUUAAGUCUAUUAAGACAGGAAAGCUGCACUGAAUUCGUCUAACGUCCUGAAUUCGUGAUUAUGGAUCUGGAAAAACAUCAGAGGUUCACUGCUCAACAAACUGAUUAAUCGGAGUCGCCACAUAUUCCAAGAGGCUCCUAGGAGGAAGAAGCUCUGCGAAAGAACUCAGCGGAACUCAUUGCCUUGUAGAGGUCAGUAAUUAUUGGUCGUAAAUUACGUUGGCUACUCCUGUACAGAUGCUGAAAGUAUCACCCAAAUCGAAC